CUUAAGGAGGCUCCUCAAACAGCUCUGGGGAAUCCCAACCCCGAGAGGCCAGGAGGAGAGGAGAGGGGGAGAGGACCUCUUGCAUUCUGCCAAGCUAAAGCGCAGCGAGGACACGGCCAGGGUCGGGGCACGAGGAGGAGCGGCAAGCCCUAUUUCCAAACUCUACCACCUUCCCUGGACCAGUCUUCUAACAGCACAACUGUCUGGGCGUCUCCCUGGUGAAUGGUCCUCUCUCCUUGUCAACAUGGUGACAGUCGCUAUGGAGACAAACAGCAGCCUGGGGCAGUGGAAAGAGGACAGGUGUUGGGACCGUAGAGCCCUGGGCUCAAGUCUUGACUCCUUGACUUCCCCGCUGGAGGGCCUUGGGCAGUUAAUCUCUCUGAGCCUCAGUUUACCCACGUGCUGGAGUGACAGGGAGGACUGCGGCAGACAGCGGUCGUCAUUCACCUAGCCAUGUCCAACAAGCAGAACUGCAAGCCCGAAAUGAGUUCUAGAAUGGGGAGGAAAGACCCAAAGACUCUAAACUGGAGAGGAAGGAAAAGAAAGCGGGGGAAGAAGAAGAUGUCGGUGAAAUACAAAGUAAAGAUGUCAGGGAAGAAAAUCUGCCACUAGAAUGCAAUCUGAGAUCCUGUCUUACGAUUAUUUGGAGGGGCCAACACAGAAGUACAAAUACAUUGUUAACAAACAGCACUGCCCCGGCGACUGGGCGCUACAGCAGAGAAUAAAAUAAAGCCCCGCCCUCCUGAGAGAGACCAGCCGCCGCAAGUCCAGUCGUGCCAGCUGGAGCCGAGUGCGGUGGAGACGCGGCGAGGGUCUCCGGAAAGAACCUCCCGGACCAGCUGGCCCGGCUGCCCCCCUCCCAGCCUCUCUCGCUCCCCCACGAUGACCUCCAGCAGCAACCGGGCUUCCAGGCACAUGAAAAAUCUCUCGAGGUGCUUGUGAAAGGCCGGCUUCCAGGCCCACGCAGACCUUUCCAAUCAGUGUCUGGGAGAGCAGGCCAGGGAUCCCCACUGUCACAAGCUCCCUGGGAGCCUAGAGCUCGGGAGCCACUCUUGGAGACCCAGUAACGUGGCCAUGGAAGGACGCUUUAAAGAAAGUGCCUGGAAUGGAGAUCAUGGGCUCAGAAGUGACAGGCACCUAGUGGCUUCAGCUACUCCACAAGAUUAAUGGCACGGCCUCAGACUGGGAGAAACUCGCUCUCUAACCCCAAGGCAGGUUGCUCGAAGCUGGCGUGCAGGGUCCCUUCUUCCCCAGGGCUUGGAGACCCCAGAGGCGGAGUUGGGAGUGGGCCGCAGACCCCCGGCAGUCCGGCGCCCCGAGGUGGUUCGGGGCCCCCUCCUGAGCCUGGAAGAGGGAAGGCUGAGCCUGCCCGAGCUCCAGUCUCGGCUUCGUCUCCCUCCGCCCCCAGCAGGCGCCGCUCGGACACCGCUGGCACGGCUGUCUGGAUGGGCGAACCCCAAAGGCAAGGGACCGCCGGCGCAACCGCCCUUCCCCGCGCAGACCUGGGGGCUGGGGACGUCUGUGCAUCCGCCCUCGGGAGGGCAGCGCAGAUCACGCCUCCCAUCCUUCCCAACACU